rnacentral:tRNA from 1 species
AGUUAAUGAACUUGUAUAAGUAUAUACUUUGAAAGUAUAUACUUAUACAAGUUCAUUAACUAAAUUUU